rnacentral:lncRNA from 1 species
GAGUUCCCAUGUACACCUGUGUAAAUAGAUUUGUUAACUGAAAUGUACUUUAAGAGAAGAUAAAAAAAUCUGUAAAUAAACUGAUUUGUAAAUUAAUUUUAUGUCAGGUGUUCUUUUUUUUUUUUUUUCCCCACCUUUGAGCCAAGUUUAGAGAACUAGUUCUCCAUAAAAUUCACUUCUGAUUUCUUAUUGGGUGGCAGAGCCCUUAUGCUUGAGCAGAAGAGUAAGGCGAGCUGUGUAGGAACUAUGUGCUCUACAUAAAUGCCAUCCCCAUGCGCAUCUGAGCUGCCCGGGCCCUGACCUUGAUCGAUCACUCCUUCAACAGUCGUGGUGCACACCUUCGCGUCCUGAGCACUGCGCCCUGGGCAGGGGCGCGAGCACAGACGACAGACAUGGUCCCCGACCUUGUGGAGCUUAAAGUCUAAAUGAAAGAAGGUCACCAACAAAUAAUUUAAGAAACAGUGCCUGACAAAUUGAGAUAAGGGCUGCGAAGGACACAUACACCAAUUUGAGAGAUGUAAUACAAGGACCCAACAAGAGUAGGGGGUGAGUCAGAGAAUUCCCUGAUAAAUCCUAACUUUGUGUUCGAGAUCAAUCAGCUUCUUCCCUGUAAUUCAUGGCAAAUGUCUCUUCUCCCAAAUGACCUGAAAUCUGAUCCCCCUUACAAAAUAACACAUACAGAAAAGUCACGCAAGUAAGUGGGCCAUGAAGAAGAACGACCAUGUGGUGACUAGGUGUGGCUGGAGUUUAUUUCUAGAAAUACGAGCUUGGAGAAGAAUGGAUUUAGAAGAACAAAACUAUUUCAAAGGUGGAAAUGGAUGGCGCUCAGGAUAAUGAAUCAUUUCUGGUCCAACGAGUUUAGAAGUGACUACCACCAUCUCGCCUGAAUUCCUCUGGUAGCCUCCUGAUACACCCCUGCCACAUCUUUAACUCCUGCACGGCCAUGAGCAUUAAAGAAAUUCUCAGAAAAGGAUUCCAUGUUGCAGCAAGUUCUAAGAAAUUCUUGGACUUCUAAGAUAGCCACCUACUCUGUGCCAGAUACAUGCAUUUGUGGGCAAGUCACAACAUUAAUGACAGCUUGAAUCUUGGGGGAAAAAAAAGACCAAAACCUGUAUCCUUGAAUCAAAACACAGGAAAAUAAUGGAUGGGAGGAUGGCAAUUGACACAGCAGAGCCAAGAGUAGUGAGGCCUGCAGUGCUGAGUGCCUACAGAGGUGAGUGCUGGAGGAGCAAACCAGUGCUCUACAAAUGCCCAGAAAAGUUUAGAAAUUGGCAGCAGCUGCCACCAAGAAAGGUGGGAAACAUUGGAUCGUUUCACUGGGUGGCCAGGCUGUGGGGCCAAGGUUAGAAGGCAGGUAAGUGACACCCAGGGAAUAGACCAGGCAUAAUCCAAGGGCGCUGAGAGCAGACAGCAGCACCCCAAGCUCAAGUGGUACCACAUUUCCUUACAGAAAGAAAGGAGAGAAAGCGCACCAUAUCCAGUCUCCUGCAUGGUUCCCCGUGGCCAGUGGGUCCACUCAGAAGCCUGGACGCACCCCACUUGGUGCUGUGUGGAAGGACCCCGGCCGCUCCCACGGAUCUGAAGUACAGAAAGCUGGGGGCAUGCCUGAGGGCCACCAACACAUACGCUUAAGCAGAACAAAGUUAAGUUCGCGCUGAGUCUGAAGCAGUGAAAGCUGAUGAGCCUGGCACAGGCCGUGAGGACACUCUCUUAGACUCUCUCUUGGUAACGAAGUGUUCUGGACCCAGGCCUGUCCUUAUGUGACCAUGCAGGAGGCAAGAAGUUGCACAUGACUGCCUUUCCCAACAGGCCACCUCCCCCCAGCCACUGACAGAGCAGACAGAGCACACCAGGUCCAGUAGGACCAUCAUUUGCCUCGCGUGUGUAGGCAGAGCUGAGUGGAUGGGCCCCUGAACCACCUGCAGGGAUACAGUUUGCUUGCAGAGCCUCCCUGUCCCUUUGAGACAGCACCUUACCAGAGUCACUGGGAGAAGCAGACACAGGACCAUGCUCAGUCCUCCCCGGAGAAUGACCCUCAACCAGAACCCCCAGUGCUGGACGAAGCCAGCUGAAGAGGUCAAAAAUUGAGUCAGGGGUUGGGGGGACGGCGUGUGCACAGAUAAUACCCAUCCAACCCGAGUGAGGUGCUUCUCCUUCCCCACACCGUCAAACCCACAGCCAGAGGCACUGGCAAGAGAACAAACACCACCCCAUUCUGCCAGCAGACAAAUGAGGGCCAUUCAGGUGUCCAUCACCCCCUUGGCUCAUGUGUCAUGGUCCUUGUGGGUCUAGAGGAAAAUCCACGUCACAGUGUACCGGCCAAGCCAUUAACAUGGACGUCCCGGGAACCNUGACAAGCCCAGCAUUGUUUGAGUCUGCCUCCUCUCCCACUGGCUGUGCUAAUUCUUAUCAGAGUGGCACCACAGAGGCUUCUUAGAAGUGAGAAGACAGAUUGAAGUUAGCACCUCAUUCCCAUGCCAAGAAACUCCUGAAGCCAAAGAUGCUCUUAUCUACUUCCGUGGGAUCCACCGCCUCUGUUGCUUGACCCAAAUCUUUCAGCCCAGUCAUCCAACUGGGGGUGAGAAGUCACACCCUAAAUGACCUUGACAUACCCACCACUUGAGUCAGAGGUCCCAGCACGACCAGGGAAACCCUAGUGCGCCGUGUCCUGCAUCCUUUCCCCAUCCCUGCAGGGUCCCCAGUGAGAGAGGCAGCAUUGCCUGAUAGUAGCAUUGCCUCCACAUUUGAACUGGGAGGCCCUGCUGGUGACGCCACUGUGACUCCAAUCACAAAUCACCCCCUGGAAGUGUGUUCCAGCAGGAGCACAAGAAUGGUUGGGUGUACUGGGGCUUCGGCCAGUGCAGCCUAAUCAGCAACUGCCUGGUCCUCCACCCACUCCGUAUUCACCAUUGCUGGAAUGCAGUGCUUAAGGUUCAAAGGACUUUCUUUUUUUUUCUUUUUUUCUUUUUAGGGCCGCACAGCAUAUGGAAGUUCCCAGGCUAGGGGGUCUAAUCAGAGCUGUCGCCGCCAGCCUACACCAGAGCCACAGCAAUGCGGAAUCUGAGCCGCUUCUGCGACCUACACCACAGCUCACGGCAGCGCCGGAGCCUGAAUCCACAGCCUCAUGAUUCCUAGUUGUAUUUGUUUCUGCUGCACCACGACAGAAACACCCCCAAAGGACUUCUCUUAAGCAGGACUACCAUCCAGUGAAUUGCUUUGUUCGAGGUCUUUAUCGUAGUUGUUUUGAGCCACUCGUAUUCUUUGCCCCAUUUGUCGGGGGUGAUAGGGAGCAUGGAAACUCUAGCUAUGUCACAGGCACCUGUCUUUUGCUGAUUUGGGGCUAUACAUGCGGUGUCUUGAUAGCAUGGAAUUUUUUGAUAUCCGAACGUACAGCAGAAGUGGUUUUUAGAGCUGUAAUAGUGGUUUCUGUGUCUCCAUGGCACAUGAAUAUGUGUCUGGUGGAGAGUUACUAGAAUCCAUGACUGGGGGCUAGUGAUUUGCUGUCAUCAACUUGCUGCAUUUGUGUGGCCCCGUUUGCUCUGUUAUAUGGCCUGCCCUCAGGAGUCACAUGACUGUGGCAUCUUUAGCUUUCAUUUUGGAGGACAAGCUAUUGUGAUUUGGUCUAUUUUUGCAUCUGAGGUAGACUUUUAUGUUCCAUGCUGUAGUGGGCCCCAUGGGCCGUCAUGAUGACUUGCUGAGUGCAUGUUAGUUUUAGUUCUUUUGUUCUAUUUGCAUGUUUUUUUAAAAAUUGUUUCUUUGUUAGAAGCAUUAAUGAUGAGUGAGGAGUAGCUUUAUUUUUUAGCCCCCGCUGUUGUCACAGCUCUUGUCCCCCCACACAGUGGCGCCCUGAGCAGUUCAGUCAUUAAUCUGUCAAUUUCUGGGCCAUUCAUAAUGCUCCAUGAGUCUGUAAAUAAGGAAGCUGCUGCUGGAGAGGCCUGCGCAGACAUCAUGAUUGCAUGGAUUUUAGCCUGUUGGGCAGAGUGUUCUUCUCUGGUCUCAGCUGAGAGGUGGCGAUUCUUGGAGAAGAGGCCACAGAAGACUCUAUCAGCUUUGAGUUCCACAGCUGGACAUCUUUGAACCAAGGGCCCUGCUUAGUUGAACGAGGAGUGGGAGCAUCCCCUAUAGUCGUACAGCUCCUCUGGCCAAGCAACUACUUGCUUAUGGAGCCAGCUGGCUCCCUGGGUCCUAGAUGGGCUCCAUCUUGGAUGUGCUAUUUUCAUUUCAUGAUGGAGCUUUGUUGAGCCUGUGCUAUUUUAUGAGUGGGUCCCCACAUGCAGAUGGGCUACUUAGGUUGUAAGGAUCCAAAGGGGGCGUCUGUGCUCAGGCACCCUUCAGUAAGUCCCAGCAGUAGGCUAGAGGAUAGUGUAUCUGGUGGCUACCUUGGUUUACGUGUCCAAACCUCAGGAGCCAACCCACGGGCAGCAGUCUCUUGGGAUCCCGGGUUCCAAUCCUCAUGGAUAGAAGUCACUGAAAGCCCUAGUUUCAAAAGGCUGGCAGGCUUCACUGGCCCAAUGGCAGGGCCUGUAUCACUGUAUGUUGCAUGGCUUCUUGGGUCUGUUGCUGUUGGAGAUGCCACAACUUGGGUAACCUUGAAAAAAAGGGGGGCAAAAGAAUAUGCAGACAUUGUGCAUAUUGUCUUUAGUAGCUACGUGGACCUACCAGUUACUGAGUCUCUUUUUGUGUGUGGGAACUGUCAGUAACUUUAGUUUAGUCUUGUUGGGAUUGGUUUUUUGACUACUGGUCCCCAGGACUUCUAGGAGCUGCAAUUGUGGAAGGAGCUUAUGGCCCAGCUGCCUGUAUCAGUGUCCAUGACCUUAUGCACGACCUGGUCAACUGGUUUCUCAGUUGACUGGAAAUUGAGGACUCUACCCAUCUAGUGUAUGACAAGUGUCCUGGCAGUUACUGGGCUUGUUUCAGAUUUAGCCUUACCCACCGUGGGCAUAUUGCCGGGGGACUGAGGUUUCCCUGUUGAAGUACAGUGAGAGUACACUAUGGGCCGUUCCAGGUGAAUGCAAAUUGGCCCUGAUCCUUGUCCUGCAAGGGGGUUGAGCAAAAGUCACUAGCCAGCUCAGCUCCAGCACCCCAGUCUCCCACGUGCACCACCACCACCCAGGUGACGGCAAUGAUGUCUGGUUCGGAGGGGCCAAGGGUGGCACCUCGGAGUUUAAUUUCUGGUUUCCCACUUCUGGCUUCCAGGCCCCUGAGGCCUUUUUAAUGGGCUGGACUGACCUAUUAAACUGCAAUAAAGUGGUGUGUAAUGUCACUGCCUACAGCCAGACCUGAAUAGUAAUGUCUUUUGUCCCCACCUGGUGUGUAGUACUGCUCCUGUUGACUAUUCCGGGGGAGGGGGUUGGGUUGGGUAACUUAGGUGGCAGGUGGUAGAAGAUGUCCCACUGUUACGUCUCUGAGUUUUUUGUCAUCAGCCUUCAGGCAGCAGAGAUGUUCUGUGUCACAAGCAGCCAAAAUGUCAAUGUCUAUGACACCCAGUGCUGAAAACCAUGUCACAGGACCUGAAAUGGCCCAAAGCACAUGCGAACCUGUUUUUUCUCAAAUCCCUCAUUGUCAUCAGUUGACCGCUAUCCCUGUGGGGACCCGUGAUUAUUGUGAUUUGAGCACAAGUAUCCAAAACCUCCAUAGAAGACUGAAUCCUCCAGCCUUUUUUUAUCCUGACAGAGAUACAGGGCUGCUUCUCCUUGGUGGGGACCCAGAGACCCUGGCCCAUCCCUAACUGUGCCAUUCAGCUUGGGCCGUUUGCGUUUCAAUGCUCCUUCGUCAAACAGGCAUACCAAUCAGGCUGCAUGAGACCCUCUGGCUUUGGUCCAUAUCUAUGUUUCGGUUUUUGUGUUUUUAUUUUCAGAGAAGAACCUCAUUUUUAAAAAUAUUUUUAUUAAAGUACAGUUGAUUUACAGUGUCGUGCUAAUUUCUGCUGUACAGAAUAGGGACCCAGGAGUUCCCGUCGUGGCUCAGUGGUUAACGAAUCCGACUAGGAACCAUGAGGUUGCAGGUUCAAUCCCUGGCCUUUCUCAGUGGGUUAAGGAUCCGGCGUUGCUGUGAGCUGUGGUGUAGUUUGCAGACGCGGCUCGGAUCCCGCGUUGCUGUGGCUCUGGAAUAGGCCAGUGGCUACAGCUCCGAUUCGACCCCUAGCCUGGGAACCUCCAUAUGCUGUGGGAGCGGCCGAAGAAAAGGCAAAAAAAAAAAAAAAAA